rnacentral:rRNA from 1 species
AUGAGGAAGGCUUUCUCGACAGCAGCCGUCCGGCCGGCGACCCAGUUGGCGGUGGCAGCCAUAGAAGAUCGAGGUCAGGGGGCGACUGGGUCGACAAUGAGGGAGCCAUGGGGCGUGGCCACGUCCGGCCGAAUAUGGGGCUGGACUUGGGCAGCGGCUUUGGAGCUGCCGAUGCACAAGCUGGGCAAGAGGGUAGGCAUCGAUGCUAGAAGGAGUGAUACUGUCAACUUAGACGAUGAAGAUGAUGGUCUGAUCAGGAAUGGUUCAACAACAAGAGAGGCACCUUUUAAAGGACUUAAGACCAACGACAUACAUCAUGUGUGGAACCAUGGCCCCAAGCACGGAGGAGGAUUUCAUUGUCGGUAUUGCAACAUGAAGAAUUCUGGAGGAGGUGCAACCCGCUUCAAAGAGCAUCUUGGCAAGAUAGUAGGUGAAGUGAAGGAGUGCCCAAAUGUUCCAAGAAAUGUGCAUGAUAUAAUGAGGAAGGCCGUGCUUGAGAUGAGGAAAAAGAAGAGGGAGAAGGAAAGUCGUAAGCUUAGAUUUGAACGUGAGUUGAUGGAUGAGAUGUACCAGAGAAAUGGUGUGAUAAAUAUUGAUGAUGAUAAAGAUGAAGAAAUUCAUAUGGCACUACGGGAGUCACUAAGAGACAGGAAUGUAUCUCGUGCAGUUGAGAGGAGGCGUGGUAGUGGCAGUGGUGUUCGCGUUUCCCUUGGGAAACAGAGUAUCACAGCCUACUUUGACAAGCAAUUGUCGAGCAACAAAGUAUCAAUGCAACCCAAGAUCAGCACUGCUAUGGAUAGCAGCUCAAGGGAUGCUGUUGGCCAAGCUUGGGCGAAGUUUUUUCAUGCAAAUGACAUCGCUGGUCGAAAAGCUGACUGUCCAUAUUUUCAGGCUGCCAUGAAGAUCACUCAAAAUCUUGGUGCUGCUCCUAUUCCAACUGGAAAAGAGAUUGAUGGGGAGUAUUUAGACAAAAAUUAUGAAGAGUCUCGAGAGUGGCUGAAGCUAUUCAAGCAAGAUUGA